UGGGGAAUUUUGGACAAUGGGCGAAAGCCUGAUCCAGCAAUGCCGCGUGUGUGAAGAAGGCCUUCGGGUUGUAAAGCACUUUUGUCCGGAAAGAAAUCCUUGGCUCUAAUACAGUCGGGGGAUGACGGUACCGGAAGAAUAAGCACCGGCUAACUACGUGCCAGCAGCCGCGGUAAUACGUAGGGUGCAAGCGUUAAUCGGAAUUACUGGGCGUAAAGCGUGCGCAGGCGGUUUGCUAAGGCCGAUGUGAAAUCCCCGGGCUCAACCUGGGAACUGCAUUGGUGACUGGCAGGCUAGAGUAUGGCAGAGGGGGGUAGAAUUCCACGUGUAGCAGUGAAAUGCGUAGAGAUGUGGAGGAAUACCGAUGGCGAAGGCAGCCCCUGGGCCAAUACUGACGCUCAUGCACGAAAGCGUGGGGGAGCAAACAGGAUUAGAUAACCCUGGUAGUCCACGCCCUAAACGAUGUCAACUAGUUGUUGGGGAUUCAUUUCCUUAGUAACGUAGCUAA
rnacentral:rRNA from 1 species